rnacentral:rRNA from 1 species
AAAGGAAUAGACGGGGGCCCGCACAAGCAGCGGAGCAUGUGGUUUAAUUCGAAGCAACGCGAAGAACCUUACCAGGCCUUGACAUCCUGCGAAGGCGCCAGAGACGGCGCCGGCCCUUCGGGGACGCAGAGACAGGUGGUGCAUGGUUGUCGUCAGCUCGUGUCGUGAGAUGUUGGGUUAAGUCCCGCAACGAGCGCAACCCUUGUGUCCAGUUGCCAGCGCGUAAUGGCGGGCACUCUGGACAGACUGCCCGUGAAAGCGGGAGGAAGGUGGGGACGAGGUCAAAUCAUCAUGCCCCUUACGGCCUGGGCCACACACGUGCUACAAUGGCCUGAACAAAGGGUAGCCAAGCAGCGAUGCGGAGCCAAUCCCAAAAAACAGGCCCCAGUUCGGAUUGCAGGCUGCAACCCGCCUGCAUGAAGCCGGAGUUGCUAGUAAUCGCGGAUCAGCACGCCGCGGUGAAUGCGUUCCCGGGCCUUGUACACACCGCCCGU